CCUACGGGUGGCUGCAGUGAGGAAUAUUGGUCAAUGGGCGCGAGCCUGAACCAGCCAAGUAGCGUGAAGGAUGACUGCCCUACGGGUUGUAAACUUCUUUUAUAAGGGAAUAAAGUGAGGCACGUGUGCCUUUUUGUAUGUACUUGAUGAAUAAGGAUCGGCUAACUCCGUGCCAGCAGCCGCGGUAAUACGGAGGAUCCGAGCGUUAUCCGGAUUUAUUGGGUUUAAAGGGAGCGUAGGCCGGUCGUUAAGCGUGCCGUGAAAUUUUGUGGCUCAACCUUUAGCGUGCGGCGCGAACUGGAAACCUUGAGUGCGCGGGAGGCAGGCGGAAUUCGUGGUGUAGCGGUGAAAUGCUUAGAUAUCACGAAGAACCCCGAUUGCGAAGGCAGCAUACUAGACUGCCACUGACAUUGAUGCUCGAAAGUGUGGGUAUCAAACAGGAUUAGAUACCCUUGUAGUC
rnacentral:rRNA from 1 species